rnacentral:rRNA from 1 species
AUUGAACGCUGGCGGCAGGCCUAACACAUGCAAGUCGAACGAGUGGCGGACGGGUGAGUAAUGUCUGGGAAACUGCCUGAUGGAGGGGGAUAACUACUGGAAACGGUAGCUAAUACCGCAUACCCUCGAAUGUGCCCAGAUGGGAUUAGCUAGUAGGUGGGGUAACGGCUCACUUAGGCGACGAUCCCUAGCUGGUCUGAGAGGAUGACCAGCCAAACUGGAACUGAGACACGGUCCAGCAUCCUAGGGAAGGCAGCAGUGGGGAAUAUUGCACAAUGGGGGCAAGCCUGAUGCAGCCAUGCCGCGUGUAUGAAGAAGGCCUUCGGGUUGUAAAGUACUUUCAGCGGGGAGGCGUUACCCGAAGAAGAAGCACCGGCUAACGCCGUGCCAGCCGCCGCGGUAAUUC